rnacentral:tRNA from 1 species
GGUGGCUCAGUGGUAGAGUGCUUGCCUUGCAUGUAUGAAGCCCUGGGUUCGACUCCGCAGCACCA